rnacentral:rRNA from 1 species
UUGCUCUUCAACGAGGAAUCCCUAGUAAGCGCAAGUCAUCAGCUUGCGUUGAUUACGUCCCUGCCCUUUGUACACACCGCCCGUCGCUACUACCGAUUGAAUGGCUCAGUGAGGCUUUCGGACUGGUCCAGGGAGGUCGGCAACGACCACCCAGGACCGGAAAGUUAUCCAAACUCGGUCAUUUAGAGGAAGUAAAAGUCGUAACAAGGUCUCCGUUGGUGAACCAGCGGAGGGAUCAUUAGCGAGUUCAGCUCUCUAAAACCAUUGUGAAAGCGCCUACAGUGUUGCUUCGGCGGGGUCACACCCGCCGGCAGUACCAAACUCUGCAAUUAUUGUAUCUCUGAGUAAACUUUUAAUAAGUCAAAACUUUCAACAACGGAUCUCUUGGUUCUGGCAUCGAUGAAGAACGCAGCGAAAUGCGAUAAGUAAUGUGAAUUGCAGAAUUCAGUGAAUCAUCGAAUCUUUGAACGCACAUUGCGCCCGCUAGUAUUCUGGCGGGCAUGCCUGUUCGAGCGUCAUUUCAACUAUCAAGCCCCAGGCUUGCGUUGGGGGCCUGCGGCUGCCGCAGCCCCUGAAAAGCAGUGGCGGGCUCGCUGUCAUUCCGAGCGUAGUAGUUACAUCUCGCUCUGGGCGUGGCGGUGGGCACCUGCCGUGAACCACUCUUUCUAAGGUUGACCUCGGAUCAGGUAGGAAUACCCGCUGAACUUAAGCAUAUCAAUAAGCGGAGGA